CCUGAUCCAGCCAUGCCGCGUGAGUGAUGAAGGCCUUAGGGUCGUAAAGCUCUUUCGCCAGGGAUGAUAAUGACAGUACCUGGUAAAGAAACCCCGGCUAACUCCGUGCCAGACAGCCGCGGUAAUA
rnacentral:rRNA from 1 species